GCCUGAUGAACCCUGGUGUAAGGACUGGUCAUUACCAGAGGGCAUAUUACCGUCUGGCCUUUCAGGUUCCUGAAUUUGAGAACUAUUGCCAUCCUGUGAUCCAACACCUCCACCAGACUGAGCUCCCUGGGGAGUAUGAUUUUCACCAGCUGAUGAUCCCCCACUCUGGCCAGUCAUUCUAGCAUUCCCAUCAGCAAGGCCCAUAGGAGCAGCUGCAUUGGCACCAGAAACAUUUUGCUGCAUUCUU
rnacentral:misc_RNA from 1 species